AUCUGAUCUCACAAGGGAUUAUGUAUAUUUGGAACUUCAGAGAGAUGGUGGAGUUGGCUGUCCCACAGUGAAAGAAUUACACCACUCAGUGAGGGUUCAGACCACACAAAGUGACCAGUGAAACUUCUCUGUGUGGCUGACUCAGUUGCUCCUUACAGAGCACAGGGCACAUCUCCCUCAGAUUCUUCAAUUUAGAUAAGAACAGAAACAAAUACUAUCAUCUGUUUACCUCUUCCUCACUAAGGUAAAAUUUUCAGUUCAUUAAAGAAAUUGAAUUAUUGUUCAUAAUAACAGUUGCAGUCCUUGUUUUUUCGUUGGAUAAAAAUAAGAGACUGUUGAGAAUCAACGCCUUCAAUUUAUCCUCAGGUAUGGGUGCGCUCUUGGUGUUGCCAUUAAAGUAAUUUCUAUCGAUAGACACAUUUUCAAAAAACAGAGUUGCUUUGUUCCAGUCUUUUUAUGUCAAGCAUUUUUUUAGGUAAGCUGGGUAUUUUGUAUUUCCCACAAAACCCAGAAAACUAUCUUAUACUAAAAUAAUUAUUAAAAGUAAACCACAGGGCUCA